rnacentral:rRNA from 1 species
CUACAGGCUUAACACAUGCAAGUCGAGGGGCAGCAUGGUCUUAUCUUGCUAAGGCCGAUGGCGACCGGCGCACGGGUGAGUAACACGUAUCCAACCUGCCGUCUACUCUUGGACAGCCUUCUGAAAGGAAGAUUAAUACAAGAUGGCAUCAUGAGUCCGCAUGUUCACAUGAUUAAAGGUAUUCCGGUAGACGAUGGGGAUGCGUUCCAUUAGAUAGUAGGCGGGGUAACGGCCCACCUAGUCUUCGAUGGAUAGGGGUUCUGAGAGGAAGGUCCCCCACAUUGGAACUGAGACACGGUCCAAACUCCUACGGGAGGCAGCAGUGAGGAAUAUUGGUCAAUGGGCGAGAGCCUGAACCAGCCAAGUAGCGUGAAGGAUGACUGCCCUAUGGGUUGUAAACUUCUUUUAUGAAGGAAUAAAGUCGGGUAUGGAUACCCGUUUGCAUGUACUUUAUGAAUAAGGAUCGGCUAACUCCGUGCCAGCAGCCGCGGUAAUACGGAGGAUCCGAGCGUUAUCCGGAUUUAUUGGGUUUAAAGGGAGCGUAGAUGGAUGUUUAAGUCAGUUGUGAAAGUUUGCGGCUCAACCGUAAAAUUGCAGUUGAUACUGGAUAUCUUGAGUGCAGUUGAGGCAGGCGGAAUUCGUGGUGUAGCGGUGAAAUGCUUAGAUAUCACGAAGAACUCCGAUUGCGAAGGCAGCCUGCUAAGCUGCAACUGACAUUGAGGCUCGAAAGUGUGGGUAUCAAACAGGAUUAGAUACCCUGGUAGUCCACACGGUAAACGAUGAAUACUCGCUGUUUGCGAUAUACUGCAAGCGGCCAAGCGAAAGCGUUAAGUAUUCCACCUGGGGAGUACGCCGGCAACGGUGAAACUCAAAGGAAUUGACGGGGGCCCGCACAAGCGGAGGAACAUGUGGUUUAAUUCGAUGAUACGCGAGGAACCUUACCCGGGCUUAAAUUGCAGAUGAAUUACGGUGAAAGCCGUAAGCCGCAAGGCAUCUGUGAAGGUGCUGCAUGGUUGUCGUCAGCUCGUGCCGUGAGGUGUCGGCUUAAGUGCCAUAACGAGCGCAACCCUUGUUGUCAGUUACUAACAGGUUCCGCUGAGGACUCUGACAAGACUGCCAUCGUAAGAUGUGAGGAAGGUGGGGAUGACGUCAAAUCAGCACGGCCCUUACGUCCGGGGCUACACACGUGUUACAAUGGGGGGUACAGAGGGCCGCUACCACGCGAGUGGAUGCCAAUCCCCAAAACCUCUCUCAGUUCGGACUGGAGUCUGCAACCCGACUCCACGAAGCUGGAUUCGCUAGUAAUCGCGCAUCAGCCACGGCGCGGUGAAUACGUUCCCGGGCCUUGUACACACCGCCCGUCAAGCCAUGGGAGCCGGGGGUACCUGAAGUGCGUAACCGCGAGGAGCGCCCUAGGGUAAAACUGGUGACUGGGGCUAA